CCUGACAUAGCUCAGUGGUAGAGCACCCGUCUCAUACGCGGGAGCGCCGAGGUUCGAAUCCUCGUGGCAGGA
rnacentral:tRNA from 1 species